rnacentral:rRNA from 1 species
UACGUAGGGUGCAAGCGUUAAUCGGAAUUACUGGGCGUAAAGCGUGCGCAGGCGGUGAUGUAAGACAGUUGUGAAAUCCCCGGGCUCAACCUGGGAACUGCAUCUGUGACUGCAUCGCUGGAGUGCGGCAGAGGGGGAUGGAAUUCCGCGUGUAGCAGUGAAAUGCGUAGAUAUGCGGAGGAACACCGAUGGCGAAGGCAAUCCCCUGGGCCUGCACUGACGCUCAUGCACGAAAGCGUGGGGAGCAAACGGG